rnacentral:tRNA from 1 species
AGCUGGCUGGCUCAGUCGGAAGAGCAUGUGACUCUUGAUCUCAGGGUUGUGAGGGGUUGUGGGUUCGAGCCCCACGUUGGGUG